UGGGGAAUAUUGCACAAUGGGCGCAAGCCUGAUGCAGCCAUGCCGCGUGUAUGAAGAAGGCCUUCGGGUUGUAAAGUACUUUCAGCGGGGAGGAAGGGAGUAAAGUUAAUACCUUUGCUCAUUGACGUUACCCGCAGAAGAAGCACCGGCUAACUCCGUGCCAGCAGCCGCGGUAAUACGGAGGGUGCAAGCGUUAAUCGGAAUUACUGGGCGUAAAGCGCACGCAGGCGGUUUGUUAAGUCAGAUGUGAAAUCCCCGGGCUCAACCUGGAAACUGCAACUGAUACUGGAAAGCUUGAGUCUCGUAGAGGGGGGUAGAAUUCCAGGAGUAGCAGAGAAAUGCGUAGAGAUGGGGAGGAAUACCGGUGGCGAAGGCGGACCCAUGGACAAAGACUGACGCUCAGGUGCGAAAGCGUGGGGAGCAAACAGG
rnacentral:rRNA from 1 species